rnacentral:rRNA from 1 species
CCUACGGGAGGCAGCAGUAGGGAAUCUUGCGCAAUGGGCGAAAGCCUGACGCAGCGACGCCGCGUGAGGGAAGAAGGCCUUAGGGUUGUAAACCUCUUUCAGGAGGGACGCGGUACCUCCAGAAGAAGCCCCGGCUAACUACAUGCCAGCAGCCGCGGUAAUACGUAGGGGGCAAGCGUUGUCCGGAUUUAUUGGGCGUAAAGAGCGUGUAGGCGGCCAAGCAGUCAGCUGUGAAAACUCGAGGCUCAACCUCGAGACGUCGGUUGAAACCGCUUGGCUAGAGUCCGGAAGAGGAGAGUGGAAUUCCCGGUGUAGCGGUGAAAUGCGCAGAUAUCGGGAAGAACACCCGUGGCGAAGGCGGCUCUCUGGGACGGACUGACGCUGAGACGCGAAAGCGUGGGGAGCGAACAGGAUUAGAUACCCUUGUAGUC